rnacentral:rRNA from 1 species
GAUGAACGCUGGCGGCGUGCCUAAUACAUGCAAGUCGAGCGAACGGACGAGAAGCUUGCUUCUCUGAUGUUAGCGGCGGACGGGUGAGUAACACGUGGAUAACCUACCUAUAAGACUGGGAUAACUUCGAGAAACCGGAGCUAAUACCGGAUAAUAUUUUGAACCGCAUGGUUCAAAAGUGAAAGACGGUCUUGCUGUCACUUAUAGCUGCAUCACCGCUGCAUUAGCUAGUUGGUGAGGUAACGGCUUACCACGGCAACGAUGCAUAACCGAGCUGAGAGAGUGAUCGGCGACCCUGGAACUUAACCAGGGUCCAGACUCCUACGAGAGGACGCAGCAGACAACCUUCGGCAACGGGCGAAAGCCUGACGGAGCGACGCCGAGUGAGUGGUGCAGAUGUCAGGAUCGUGACGCUCUGCUAUUAGGGAAGAACAUAUGUGUAAGUAACUGUACACAUCUUGACGGUAACUAAUCAGAAAGCCACGGCUAACUACGUG